rnacentral:rRNA from 1 species
GUAUAUGGCUAUGCCACCCUGAACAUGCUUGAUCUUGUCUGAUCUCGGAAGCUAAGCAGGAUCAGGCCUGGUUAGUACUUGGAUGGGAGACCACCUAGGAAUACCAAGUGCUGUAGGUG